rnacentral:rRNA from 1 species
AGGGCGCAUGGCGGAUGCCUUGGCUCUCGGAGGCGAUGAAGGACGUGAUAAGCUGCGAUAAGCUUUGGGGAGGUGCAAAUGACCUUUGAUCCAGAGAUUUCCGAAUGGGACAACCCAAUAUCUUGAAGAGGUAUUAUCUUACUAUGUAAGAGGCUAACGCAGGGAACUGAAACAUCUUAGUACCUGCAGGAAAAGAAAAUAAACAAUGAUUCCCCCAGUAGUGGCGAGCGAACGGGGAACAGCCCAAACCAUCCAUGUUACGGCAUGGGUGGGGUUGUAGGACUACGCCGUUGCAUGAAGACAUCAGAGAAGAACUUUCUGGAAAGAAAGACCAUAGAGCAUGACAGUUGCGUAUUCGAAUGUUGUCGAAGCAUAGUAGUAUCCUGAGUAGCGCGGAGCACGAGGAAUUCUGCGUGAAUCUGCCGGGACCAUCCGGUAAGGCUAAAUACUCCCGAGAGACCGAUAGCGAACCAGUACCGUGAGGGAAAGGUGAAAAGCACUUCGAACAGAAGAGUGAAAUAGUUCCUGAAACCGUGCGCCUACAAGCGGUCGGAGCUCGUUAAUGAGUGACGGCGUGCCUUUUGCAUAAUGAACCUACGAGUUGCCUUUGCCGGCAAGGUUAAGUGUGACGACACACGUAUCCGAAGCGAAAGCGAGUCUGAACAGGGCGUAUAGUCGGCAGUGGCAGACGCGAAACCAAGUGAUCUACCCUUGGCCAGGUUGAAGGCUGGGUAACACCAGCUGGAGGACCGCACCAAUAAGCGUUGAAAAGCUUCUGGAUGAGCUGAGGGUAGGGGUGAAAGGCUAAUCAAACUUGGAGAUAGCUCGUACUCCCCGAAAUGCAUUUAGGUGCAGCCUUGCGGGUUACUGAUGUGAGGUAGAGCGACUGAUAAGAUGCGAGGGCUUCACCGCCUAUCAAGUCUUGACAAACUCCGAAUGCGCAUCAGUUCUACCGCAGGAGUGAGGGCAUGGGUGCUAAGGUCCGUGCCCGAGAGGAGAAGAAUCCGGACCACCUGCUAAGGUCCCGAAAUGACAGCUAAGUUAAACUAACGAAGUCUGACUGCUAAGACAGCUAGGAUGUUGGCUUGGAAGCAGCCAUUCAUUUAAAGAGUGCGUAACAGCUCACUAGUCGAGGAGUUUUGCAUGGAUAAUAAUCGGGCAUAAGCCCUUUACCGAAGCUGUGGAUGUCGUAAGACAUGGUAGGGGAGCAUUCCGGCGGCGACGAAGGCCGUCCUCGAGGACGACUGGAGCUUUCGGAAAAGCAAAUGUAGGUAUAAGUAACGAUAAAGGGGGCGUGAAACCCCCUCGCCAUAAGACUAAGGAUUCCUGAUCAACGCUAAUCGGAUCAGGGUAAGUCGGGCCCUAAGGCGCAGCCGAACGGCGUAGCCGAUGGAAGAAACGGUAAAGAUUCCGUUACUGGAUAUAGGAGCGAUGUGGAGACGGAGAAGUGACACACCCGCCUGCCGACGGAAGCGCAGGUUAAAGGAAGUAGGUAAACGCCGGGUAGGCAAAUCCGCCUGGCGUGCCGAAGCUGACAGUAUCGAGAGCCCCCGGGCAAUCGAAUAGCGGUGGUAAUCAGGCUCCCAAGAAAAUCCGCUAAGCAUAUUCUAUAUCCACCCGUACCCCAAACGGACACACGUAGUCGGGUAGAAUAUACCAAGGCGCUCGAAAGACUCACGGUUAAGGAACUAGGCAAAUUGACCCUGUAACCUCGGGAAAAAGGGUCCCCAGUAAGAUGGGGCGCAGAGAAUAGGUCCAGGCAACUGUUUAACAAAAACACAGGGCUGUGCAAAAUUUGAAGAUGAAGUAUACAGCCUGACACCUGCCCGGUGCCGGAAGGUUAAGAGGAGAGCUAAUCGCAAGAGAAGGCUUGAAUUGAAGCCCCGGUAAACGGCGGCCGUAACUAUAACGGUCCUAAGGUAGCGAAAUUCCUUGUCGGGUAAGUUCCGACCUGCACGAAUGGUGUAACGAUCUGGGUACUGUCUCAACCAUGAGCUCGGUGAAAUUGUAGUUCCGGUGAAGAUGCCGGAUACCCGCAACGGGACGGAAAGACCCCGUGAACCUUUACUGCAGCUUUGCAUUGAACUGUGAACCGAUUUGUGUAGGAUAGGUGGGAGGCAGAGAAGAGGCCACGCCAGUGGUCUUGGAGCCGGCCUUGAAAUACCACCCUGAUUUGUUUGCGGUUCUAACCACGGACAGUGAUCCUGUCUUGGGACCGUGCAUGGUAGGCAGUUUGACUGGGGCGGUCUCCUCCUAAAGGGUAACGGAGGAGUACGAAGGUACGCUAGGUACGGUCGGAAAUCGUGCUGAUAGUGCAAUGGCAAAAGCGUGCUUGACUGCGAGAGCAACAACUCGAGCAGAUGCGAAAGCAGGUCAUAGUGAUCCGGUGGUUCUGAAUGGAAGGGCCAUCGCUCAACGGAUAAAAGGUACUCUGGGGAUAACAGGCUGAUACCGCCCAAGAGUUCAUAUCGACGGCGGUGUUUGGCACCUCGAUGUCGGCUCAUCUCAUCCUGGGGCUGUAGUCGGUCCCAAGGGUAUGGCUGUUCGCCAUUUAAAGAGGUACGUGAGCUGGGUUUAAAACGUCGUGAGACAGUUUGGUCCCUAUCUGCCGUGGGCGUUGGAAGAUUGACGGGGGCUGCUCCUAGUACGAGAGGACCGGAGUGGACGCACCUCUGGUGUACCGGUUGUCACGCCAGUGGCAUUGCCGGGUAGCUAAGUGCGGAAGAGAUAACCGCUGAAAGCAUCUAAGCGGGAAACUUGCCUGAAGAUGAGUCUUCCCGGAGGUAAAACCUCCCUCAAGAGUCGUCCGAGACCAGGACGUCGAUAGGUCAGGUGUGUAAGCGCUGUAAGGCGUUGAGCUAACUGAUACUAAUUGCUCGUGAGGCUUG